GGCUGUACGCGGCUGUGCUCUCGGGCCAGUUUUGCGGAGGCUGAAUUAUUUAUUACCCUUGUCUUUUGCGCACUUGUUGUUUCCUGGGCGGGUUCGCCCGCCACCAGGACCACAUCAUAAACCUUUUUUAUGCAGUUGCAAUCAGCGUCAGUAUAACAAAUGUAAAUCAUUUACAACUUUCAACAACGGAUCUCUUGGUUCUGGCAUCGAUGAAGAACGCAGCGAAAUGCGAUACGUAGUGUGAAUUGCAGAAUUCAGUGAAUCAUCGAAUCUUUGAACGCACAUUGCGCCCUUUGGUAUUCCAAAGGGCAUGCCUGUUCGAGCGUCAUUUGUACCCUCAAGCUUUGCUUGGUGUUGGGCGUUUUUUGUCUUUGGUUGCCAAAGACUCGCCUUAAAAGGAUUGGCAGCCGGCCUACUGGUUUCGCAGCGCAGCACAUUUUUGCGCUUGCAAUCAGCAAAAGAGGACGGCAAUCCAUCAAGACUCCUUCUCACGUUUGACCUCGGAUCAGGUAGGGAUACCCGCUGAACUUAAGCAUUAAAAAAGGGAGAGGAGGGAGAAUUUCGCUUUUCUUUUGGAGGGCGGUUUUGCGGACGGUGGUAUUGGGCCAAUCCCUGCGGAGGCUGAACUAUUUAUUACCCCGGGUUUGGCGCACUUGUCGUUUCCAGGGCGGGUUCGCCCGCCACCAA
rnacentral:rRNA from 1 species